GGUUUUUGUCUUCCUUGACGGAGUCAAAGAGCUAGAUAUAGGUAUGCUGUUUCCUGUCUCGGCGACGACGACGACGUCGGCGGCGGCGGCGUCAACAAUGUAUUAGUUUUCGAUUAGUUCUAGUUUAUGGUGAACCACUAGUAGUAAGUCAAAGAUAUGUGGUAUGCAGCUGUAUUAGUAUUGGCACAUCUCAUAGAGAUUAUUAAGCCCAACCCCCUAAGGUAUGGUCUAUUGAAUUUGAAACUUCGGCUUAGUUUUCAUGUAUUAGUAUGUGAUUAGGUCAGUUUAUAGGAAACCACUCGUGGUAAGGUAAUGAUCGUUGGUAUGCAGUUGUAUAAGCAUUGGCAUAUCUCAUUUCCUUGGAGAUUAUUGAGCCCCGCUCCCUCAGUCAUGGUCUAUUGACUUUAAAAAUUUUGCUUAGUUUUCAUGUAUUAGUUUGUGAUUAAGUCGGUUUAUGCGAAACCACUUGUGGUAGGUCAAUAAUAUUUGGUGUGCAGUUGUAUAAUCAUUGGCAAGUCUCGUUACCAUGGCAAUUAUUUGACACCAC
rnacentral:lncRNA from 1 species